AGUGAACGCUGGCGGUAGGCCUAACACAUGCAAGUCGAACGGCAGCACAGUAGGAGCUUGCUCUUACGGGUGGCGAGUGGCGGACGGGUGAGGAAUACAUCGGAAUCUACUUUUUCGUGGGGGAUAACGUAGGGAAACUUACGCUAAUACCGCAUACGACCUACGGGUGAAAGCAGGGGAUCUUCGGACCUUGCGCGAUUGAAUGAGCCGAUGUCGGAUUAGCUAGUUGGCGGGGUAAAGGCCCACCAAGGCGACGAUCCGUAGCUGGUCUGAGAGGAUGAUCAGCCACCCGGAAAUUGGGAACCGUCCCGGACUCCUACGGGAGGCAGCGGUGGGGAAUAUGGGCCAGUGGGGGCAAGCCUGUUCAAGCCAUACCGCGUGGGUGAAGAAGGCCUUCGGGUUGUAAAGCCCUUUUGUUGGGAAAGAAAAGCAGCAGGUUAAUACCCCGCUGUUCGGACGGAACCCAAAGAAUAAGCACCGGCUACCUUCGU
rnacentral:rRNA from 1 species